GGGGACGUACUGGUUUCGACAGGUGUGUGGAACGAGGAUAAGCGAGCCGUGGCGGUGAUCCACGUAAAAAGUACCCGUUCAAAAGAAACGCAAAAACAAACAACAAUUUCGCACUGGCUGCAUAGUUCAGCCCCGCGCGUCGGCUCGGAUUUACCUGUAGGUCCGGAUCCCGGCGUCAUGCAUACAGGAAAACUCUUGCGCGACCUCCCGUUAACGUAAGAGGACCAAACGGGAUAGCCUGCAGCGAGUCUGCCGUGUGACGCUCUGCAGGCGAAAACAAAUACCCGGCUGCGCUCGGAGAAAGUCGUCCGGAAAUGCUCUUGGACGUGGGUUCGACUCCCACCGUCUCCACCA
rnacentral:tmRNA from 1 species